CAGAAAUCAGCAGCCGUCGCCCUUCCGCACUAGAGCUCUGCUAGGGUUUGUUCUUGUCUCGAACCAGUUCGUCCCAACUAACGAUUCCUGCUCCACUUCCUAGGUCCAUCACUCGAGCUGCUGUGCUCCAAGGUCCCGCGUCGAAGUUCUGUUAGCCGCUUUCCAGAUGGGCGAAGUUCUCGUGGUCAGCAGGGAAACGGUGAUCCAGCAGCUUAGCCAUUUGGGCUAGUUCUCACGCUUCUUCUUUUCAUGUUUUCUUUAGGGCUAUGGCCCCUGUAUUCGUAGUUGUUAGAUUGUAAACUCUUAAAUAAGCGGUUAUCCUGCUUUUAGUUGGCAUCGUGGUGUGCCUGGUUUUGUAGGGGUGACGUUAUGAACCCCAGGACUGCAUUGUUGUUUUA